CCGUUCGCCAUGGGAGAAGCCUGAUCAGCAUGCCGCGUGUAGUGAAGAAGGCCUGCGGGUUGUAAAGCACUUUCAGUGGGGAAGAAAAGCCUGGGGUUAAUACCCCCGGGUCUUGACGUAACCCACAGAAGAAGCACCGGCUAACUCCGUGCCAGCAGCCGCGGUAAUACGUACGUGCCAGCAGCCGCGGUAAUACGUACGUGCCAGCAGCCGCGGUAAUACGUACGUGCCAGCAGCCGCGGUAAUAAUU
rnacentral:rRNA from 1 species